rnacentral:rRNA from 1 species
UACGUAGGUGGCGAGCGUUGUCCGGAUUUACUGGGCGUAAAGGGAGCGUAGGCGGACUUUUAAGUGAGAUGUGAAAUCCCGCGGCUCAACCGCGGAACUGCAUCUGAAACUGCGUCUCUUGAGUGUCGGAAGGGAAAGUGGAAUUCCUAGUGUAGCGGUGAAAUGCGUAGAUAUUAGGAGGAACACCGGUGGCGAAGGCGACUUUCUGGACGAUAACUGACGCUGAGACGCGAAAGCGUGGGGAGGCAAACAGGAUUAGAUACCCUGGUAGUCCCU